UACACUGUGUAUCCUCUGAGCUCGAGAGUGCGCCCCUGUAGCCCGGACCCGGUACUACACGUGCGUCAUCGAAAAUUUGCAUAUUUUACACUUGUGUAAGUUUGGAGGCCGCUGAUUGGCUAGAUUGGCACCGGUGGGCGGGAAAUCGCGAAAACAAAAUGGCGCCGGUGGGCGGGGCUACAUUCUGCCGCUAUGUAGCUUUGUACAACGAGUCGUGGGUGACGUUUUGUAACUUCCUGUUUGGACCUGACGGAAUCUCUGCACCUGAAGCGAAGACAUCAGUGGUGUGAACCUGUUGGAGACAACUCUUAUAUGAAAGCAGACACAUCAGAUGAUGGCUGAAGGUAAAAGGCAGAGGAGAAGGCUGAAGCCAGUGGAGGAGGCCAUACAGUUUUCACUUCAACAGAAAGACAAGAAUGGGCUCGAGGGCAGAUUCAUCAGUGAUUUUAAA